rnacentral:rRNA from 1 species
GACAGAGGGUGCAAACGUUGUUCGGAAUUACUGGGCGUAAAGCGAGUGUAGGCGGUCCGAAAAGUCGGGUGUGAAAGCCCUGGGCUCAACCCAGGAAGUGCACUCGAAACUGCCGGGCUAGAGUAUCGGAGAGGUUGGUGGAAUUCUCGGUGUAGAGGUGAAAUUCGUAGAUAUCGAGAGGAACACCGGUGGCGAAGGCGGCCAACUGGACGAAUACUGACGCUGAGACUCGAAAGCGUGGGGAGCAAACAGG